UGGUAGGUGGUUUCCCAAGCCUUGAAUUAAGUAGGCCAGUGUGACCUCAUAAUGGCAAGCUUUGUUCUCCCACCGCUGCUUCAAUCCUUUUUCUCCUCCCACCGUUUCCCGUGACACAAAGUACCAGUCCUUACUUUUGGAACCCGAGACUCUGGAUGUUGAGUGAGGAGUCCCUUAAAAUGAAUGGAGAGAGAGGAAGUGCCUGGACUGGUCGCCCGGAUGUACGAAGCCACGGCUCAGCCCGCCGGCAACUUGCGGUCCGUAGUCCAGUGCGGACACGAGGCGGUGAGCCGUGUCCAUCCCGGAUCCGAGGGCCUCCGCCAGAUCAAGUCCCUUAACCUCGUGCCGAGCCCGGGAAAGCGAAGAGGAAAUUUACGGACUCUAGGACCCCAAGGUACCUGCCAGGAGGGACUCCGCCAGAUCACGUCCCAUAACCUCGUGCCGAGCCCGGGAAAGCGAAGAGGAAAUUUACGGACUCUGGGACCCCAAGGCAGGUCUGAUUCUGGUGCACAUCAUGUCCAGUUUUGAAGAUGCUGACACAGAAGAGACAUUAACUUGUCUCCAGAUGACUGUUUACCAUCCAGGCCACCAGCAAAAUGGAAUAUUCCAAUCAAGAAGGUUUUUUAGCCGAGAGAAACUCCCUUCCAGCGAAGUGGUAAAAUUUGGCCGAAAUUCCAUCUGUCAGUAUACCUUUCAGGACAAACAUGCUUCUCGAGUUCAGUUUUCUCUGCACCUAUUUAAAAAGUUUGAUAGCUCAGUUCUCUCUUUUGAGAUUAAAAAUAUGAGUAAGAAGACCAGUCUGAUUGUGGACAACCAGGAAUUGGGCUACCUAAAUAAAAUGGACCUGCCCCCUAAGUGCAUGGUUAGGUUUGGUGACUAUCAGUUCCUGAUAGAGAAGGAAGAUGGAGAGUCAUUAGAAUUCUUUGAGAUUCAGUUUAUUUUAUCUACAAGAUCGCUCUUGCAAGAAAACAACUGGCUACCACAGAAGCCCAUACCUGAGUGUGGCAACUAUUUAUCCUGUUCCACCCAAGGCAAUUCUCCUAUAGAAAUGGGUGAAAAUGAAUGGUGACCACAGAGGGCUAAGAGAAUCAUGAAGGACCAACUCUGUAGACACUCUACAGACAAUCCACUUAUUAAAAGAGUUUCUGAGUGCGGUAUAUUACUGUCAUUUGCUGUGUUGCCAACUUUGAGAUCUGGUGUUAUGUGAAGUCUGUAAAUUGCGUUAGUCAUUGAUUUAGUCACCUGCUGCAUUGCUGGAUAUAUGAAGAAAUUACUAUAAUUGUGUAUCUGUGAGCAUUAAUGUAUGAAAAGCAACCUUCAUGAUGAAGGAAUAGUGUUCUCAAAAUAAGGUUAUUUUCUUUUUAUGCCCAAUUUUGGUCCCAUGUUUUAUACUGCUUCACUUUGAUUUAUAAGUUACCAUCUCUUGGUUUGGUCAUAUUAUUUCACAGCAGCCAUUUGUUCCUAGGUCAAGGUUACAAGCAUGUUAUUACAGGUGAGGUAACUUGUUGUUACUUGUCAUACCAGAGUACUGGAACAAAAAGCAUAAUGUGUUUUGGUGUCUGUGUGUCAUUGUGGUUUUAUAGUAAGACUUCUUUGUGCAAUAAUACCUUAAUUUUUGUUUUUUUCUCUAUAGAAUUAGUGUUUAUUCCCAAGAAUAGUUUUCCUUUUCUAUAUUCAGCAUCUAAAACCAAUACUUUAAACAUUGUUAAUAAACUAUGAUGUUAAAUUUAAAAUUUUCAUAUUUCUUACCAGUUUUUUAUUGUACUACAUAUUUUUAAAUUCCAUGAAUUCAAAUUUGAAUAGAUCCAUGUACACAAUAGAGUCAAAGUUUAAUUCUCUAACCAUUUUCUCUGAAACUCUUUCAGAGGUUGUGGCUGGAUUCAGAAACAUCCACUGAUGCCCUUGAGACACAUUCUUCAUUUGUUCUUCACUCCACAUGGUGGCAUAAGUUGUACAUGUUAUUGAUCAGCCAAAGAAAACCUUAUUUCUCAAUUCCAGUGCAAGGGGAGGCUCAGCUUGAGUCAGGUGCCCACCCUUCCCCCAGUCAGCUCUCCGCAAUGAAUGUUAAAUGAUGGCUGCUGAACUCGGUGACCCUGUGGAUAGGAUAAAGCAUUUUCUCAAAAGAAUGGCCACAGUGGAGUGGGACUGAGGGCAAACAAAACAUUGGUGUUUGAUACAAAGCACCACGGCUGAGUUGUGAACCUUUCAAUUCACCUCUUUCGGACUCAUCUGUGCCAUGAAAUUGAUUUGGGGUGGAGGUGGGGCUCUUUAAGUAGAUGCAUGUAUUAAUUGGUGCUAGUGUUAGUCAUAGUUUUUCUCUCUCUAGCUCUCUCACUUUUUUUUUUUUUUUUUUUUUUACGCCACACUUGUGGCCAGAGGAAGUUCCUGGGCCAGGGAUUAAUCCCUGCUGCACAGCAGCGACCGGAGCCAUUGCAGUGACAACACUGGAUCCUUAACCUGCUCUGCCACAAGAUAACUCCCUAGUCAGUCUCUUCUUGACCCUGCGACCUGGUGACAAGGGGGUGCUUUCCAAUGGUGGAAUCUCAUAUGCCAUAUGACCAUAUCCUAGGAGAUUGUGUCCCUACUAUCUACUGCACUGACUUAGCUAAAGAAGCAUUACUUUUAGGCACUAACAUGAGGGUAGUAUUUGUUUUAAUAUGCUUUGAAGAAAGAUUGGCUAUAAUCUUACUACCAGGAGAUAACAAUUAUUAAUAUUUUUUGUGUUAUGUAUUUGGUAGCUGCUUCCAUGUUAUCUCAUGGCUCUUUUUACUUUUUCAGUUCUGACACUUAUUUCCUUAUAAUGACUGUUAUCCAAGCAACCAUUUUCAAGUGUAGUUUCAACCUGCUUUACUAAUUCUGUUCUUUUUGUCUUCACAGCAGAUUUUAAAAAAUAAUCAUUUUAUAAGUCAGGAGUCAAAAUUAUUGCAUGUUUGUGGAAUAAAACUAGUAACAAAUAA
rnacentral:lncRNA from 1 species